GGUCUGGUCGCCAAGUGGUAAGGCAAGGGUCUGCAAAACCCUUAUCGCGGGUUCGAUUCCCGCUCAGACCUCCA
rnacentral:tRNA from 1 species